ensembl:lncRNA
AAAAUCGAAGAGGCAGGAAAAGACUGUAGAGCAGACGGAGGCCACGCCUCCGUCACCGAAGCCGACGACCAGAGGCCACGCCUCUGUCACUGAAGCCAACGGCCAGAGGUCACGCCUCCGUCUCGGAAGCCGAAGGCCAGAGGCCACGCCUCCGUCACUGAAGCCGACGACCAGAGGCCAUGCCUCCGUCACUGAAGCCGACUGCCAGAGGCCACGCCUCCGUCACUGAAACCGACAGCCGGAGGCCACGCCUCCGUCACUGAAACCGACAGCCGGAGGCCACGCCUCCGUCUCGGAAGCCGACGGCCAGAGGCCACGCCUCCGUCACUGAAACCGACGGCCAGAGGCCACGCCUCCGUCACUGAAGCCGACGGCCAGAGGCCACGCCUCCGUCACUGAAGCCGACGGCCAGAGGCCACGCCUCCUUCACUGAAACCGACGCCUAAAGGCCACAUCUGAGAUGUUUUACACAAUGCCCAUCAACAUGGGAAAGUGUUUAAGGAGGGAAAAACCCAGCUAGAAGAAGAUACCCUAUGCCCAGGCAAGCUGGGUGUUAUAUACACUUCCAAUUUGUUCUUCCCCGCAGAUAAUAGCAGUGUUUAAUUUAGACAAAAGCAGUAUCAGGUAUCGCAGGGGAUGGUGGGGAAAACCCGGCAUCAG